AUGGCGUCCGCUCCUGCGGCGGUUCCCCGCGUGAAGCUGGGCUCCCAGGGAAUGGAGGUCUCGGCGCAGGGCCUCGGCUGCAUGGGCAUGUCCGCCUUCUACGGCGCGCCCAAGCCCGAGCCCGACAUGGUCGCGCUCAUCCACCACGCCGUCGCCGCCGGAGUCACCUUCCUCGACACCUCCGACAUGUACGGGCCGCACACCAACGAGAUCCUGCUCGGCAAGGCGUUGCAAGGCGACAUGAGGGAGAAGGUGGAUCUGGCCACCAAGUUCGGCGUCUCGUUCGCAGACAACAAAUGGAAUGUCCGGGGGGAUCCGACGUACAUGCGCGCGGCUUGCGAGGGCAGCCUCAAGCGGCUGGCCGUCGACUGUAUUGAUCUCUACUACCAGCACCGCAUCGACAAAAAUUUGCCCAUCGAGGUCACGAUUGGCGAACUCAAGAAGCUAGUCGAAGAAGGAAAGAUAAAAUACAUCGGACUAUCUGAAGCAUCUGCAUCAACAAUCAGAAGGGCUCAUGCUGUCCAUCCUAUUACUGCAGUUCAGCUGUAG
rnacentral:rRNA from 1 species